UGGGGAAUAUUGCACAAUGGGCGCAAGCCUGAUGCAGCAACGCCGCGUGAGGGAAGACGGUUUUCGGAUUGUAAACCUCUGUCUUUGGUGACGAAGAAGUGACGGUAGCCAAGGAGGAAGCCACGGCUAACUACGUGCCAGCAGCCGCGGUAAUACGUAGGUGGCAAGCGUUAUCCGGAAUUACUGGGUGUAAAGGGAGCGCAGGCGGGAUAGCAAGUCAGCGGUGAAAUGCAUGGGCUUAACUCAUGAGCUGCCGUUGAAACUGUUAUUCUUGAGUGGAGUAGAGGCAGGCGGAAUUCCGAGUGUAGCGGUGAAAUGCGUAGAUAUUCGGAGGAACACCAGUGGCGAAGGCGGCCUGCUGGGCUCUAACUGACGCUGAGGCUCGAAAGUGUGGGGAGCAAACAGGAUUAGAUACCCUGGUAGUCCACACUGUAAACGAUGAUUGCUAGGUGUGGGGGGUCUGACCCCCUCCGUGCCGGAGUUAACGCAAUAAGCAAUCCACCUGGGGAGUACGGCCGCAAGGUUGAAACUCAAAGGAAUUGACGGGGGCCCGCACAAGCAGUGGAUUAUGUGGUUUAAUUCGAAGCAACGCGAAGAACCUUACCAGGUCUUGACAUCCAACUAACGAGAUAGAGAUAUGUCAGGUGCCCUUCGGGGAAAGUUGAGACAGGUGGUGCAUGGUUGUCGUCAGCUCGUGUCGUGAGAUGUUGGGUUAAGUCCCGCAACGAGCGCAACCCCUGCCAUUAGUUGCUACGCAAGAGCACUCUAAUGGGACCGCUACCGACAAGGUGGAGGAAGGUGGGGACGACGUCAAAUCAUCAUGCCCCUUAUGACCUGGGCUACACACGUAAUACAAUGGCCGUUAACAGAGGGAAGCAAAACCGCGAGGCAGAGCAAAACCCUAAAAACGGUCCCAGUUCGGAUCGCAGGCUGCAACCCGCCUGCGUGAAGUUGGAAUUGCUAGUAAUCGCGGAUCAGCAUGCCGCGGUGAAUACGUUCCC
rnacentral:rRNA from 1 species